CCCUAUGGGGCGCAGCAGGCGAGAUGAAGCCAUUUCAACGGCGAGGGAAGUCAUUCCGGAAAUAAAUACAGUGAUAAACAGGUAUUUGCGCAUUUUUGGAUAUUCCCUGAGCUUUGGUUCUAUGGAUUAUACCGUAUCCAGCAUCCUGGUAAUAUUCACCAAAUUGCCCCACCGUCUCUAUUUUAUGAACCGGACCUCGGCAACGGUUUUUAUGGACGCAUUUCUACUUUUGCAUGGCUUUCUGGUUGGCGCGUUUUAAGUAUCGGGAUAAAGAAAGAAUCAUUUUAAGCCGGCGUGUAUUGCAGCCUGUUGGAAUGAACCGGGUAUAAUAUUUUCAGAAGUCUCUCAGAGGAAAUAAGGAAACGAUAUGAAACUAUUGACGGUUAAUCAAAUGCGCUCCCUGGAACAGGAAGCUGAUGAACAGGGUUAUUCCUACGCGAUGAUGAUGGAAUUGGCGGGAGGGC
rnacentral:rRNA from 1 species